rnacentral:rRNA from 1 species
UGGGGAAUUUUGCACAAUGGGGGACACCCUGAUGCAGCCACGCCGCGUGAUUUAGAAGGCCUUCGGGUUGUAAAAAUCUUUUCUAUGGGAAGAAAAUGACAGUACCAUAGGAAUAAGGACCGGCUAAUUACGUGCCAGCAGCCGCGGUAAUACGUAAGGUCCGAGCGUUUUCCGGAAUCAUUGGGCGUAAAGGGUACGUAGGCGGGUAAGCAAGUUAGAAGUGAAAUCCUAUAGCUCAAAUAUAGUAAGCUUUUAAAACUGCUCAUCUUGAGGUAUGGAAGGGAAGGUGGAAGUCCUAGUGUAGCGGUGAAAUGCGCAGAUAUUAGGAGGAAUACCGGUGGCGAAGGCGACUUUCUGGCCAUAACCUGACGCUGAGGUACGAAAGCGUGGGUAGCAAACAGG